rnacentral:rRNA from 1 species
UGGGCGUAAGGGCUCGUAGGCGGCUCGUCGCGUCCGGUGUGAAAGUCCAUCGCUUAACGGUGGAUCUGCGCCGGGUACGGGCGGGCUGGAGUGCGGUAGGGGAGACUGGAAUUCCCGGUGUAACGGUGGAAUGUGUAGAUAUCGGGAAGAACACCGAUGGCGAAGGCAGGUCUCUGGGCCGUCACUGACGCUGAGGAGCGAAAGCGUGGGGAGCGAACAGGAUUAGAUACCC